ACGAGUGUCUACGGACAUGAAGUAACCGAUACCACGCUUCCAGGAAAAGCCACUAAGCUUCAGUUUGAAUCGAACCGUACCGCAAACCGACACAGGUGGGCAGGAUGAGAAUUCUAAGGCGCUUGAGAGAACUCGGGAGAAGGAACUCGGCAAAUUGAUACCGUAACUUCGGGAGAAGGUAUGCCCUCUAAGGUUAAGGACUUGCUCCGUAAGCCCUGGAGGGUCGCAGAGAAUAGGUGGCUGCGACUGUUUAUUAAAAACACAGCACUCUGCUAACACGAAAGUGGACGUAUAGGGUGUGACGCCUGCCCGGUGCUGGAAGGUUAAUUGAAGAUGUGCAAGCAUCGGAUCGAAGCCCCAGUAAACGGCGGCCGUAACUAUAACGGUCCUAAGGUAGCGAAAUUCCUUGUCGGGUAAGUUCCGACCCGCACGAAUGGCGUAACGAUGGCCACACUGUCUCCUCCUGAGACUCAGCGAAGUUGAAGUGGUUGUGAAGAUGCAAUCUACCCGCUGCUAGACGGAAAGACCCCGUGAACCUUUACUGUAGCUUUGCAUUGGACUUUGAAGUCACUUGUGUAGGAUAGGUGGGAGGCUUUGAAGCAGAGACGCCAGUCUCUGUGGAGCCGUCCUUGAAAUACCACCCUGGUGUCUUUGAGGUUCUAACCCAGACCCGUAAUCCGGGUCGGGGACCGUGCAUGGUAGGCAGUUUGACUGGGGCGGUCUCCUCCCAAAGAGUAACGGAGGAGUUCGAAGGUUACCUAGGUCCGGUCGGAAAUCGGACUGAUAGUGCAAUGGCAAAAGGUAGCUUAACUGCGAGACCGACAAGUCGAGCAGGUGCGAAAGCAGGACAUAGUGAUCCGGUGGUUCUGUAUGGAAGGGCCAUCGCUCAACGGAUAAAAGGUACUCCGGGGAUAACAGGCUGAUUCCGCCCAAGAGUUCAUAUCGACGGCGGAGUUUGGCACCUCGAUGUCGGCUCAUCACAUCCUGGGGCUGUAGUCGGUCCCAAGGGUAUGGCUGUUCGCCAUUUAAAGUGGUACGUGAGCUGGGUUUAAAACGUCGUGAGACAGUUUGGUCCCUAUCUGCAGUGGGCGUUGGAAGUUUGACGGGGGCUGCUCCUAGUACGAGAGGACCGGAGUGGACGAACCUCUGGUGUACCGGUUGU
rnacentral:rRNA from 1 species